rnacentral:tRNA from 1 species
GCCGAGAUGGUGGAAUGGUAGACACGCAAGACUUAAAAUCUUGUGACGACAACGUCGUGAGGGUUCGACUCCCUCUCUCGGCA